UAUCCCUCUCAUGUCUGCAAACUUCAACGGUCUAUUUAUGGUCUCAAGCAGUCACCCCGUGCCUGGUAUGCUCGUUUGAGUCAGCGCCUUUUGCAGCUCGGUUUUGUUGCCUCCAGAUCAGAUGCAUCUCUGUUCAUCUUCUCCCAGGGUACUAUACAGAUAUACAUGCUGGUGUACGUUGAUGAUAUUGUGAUUGCUGGCUCUACCCCCGCCGUGGUGGAUCGUCUUGUGCAGUCGUUGUCUGCUAGCUUUCCCAUCAAAGAUUUGGGUCGCCUCGAGUACUUUCUUGGUUUGGAAGCGUCCUUUCAUUCAGGGGGCAUGACCUUGACACAGAAAAAGUAUGCUUUAGAUCUUCUUCAUCGCGUCAACAUGGAGAACGGCAAGGCCACUUCCACUCCGCUUGCUACAUCCGAGAGUCUCUCACGUCAUAGUGGUGCACUACUGGGUAGAGAUGACUCCUUUCGGUAUCGCAGUGUGGUUGGGGCACUUCAGUAUUUGACCCUCACUCGUCCUGAUAUCUCCUUCGCAGUGAACAAAGUGUGUCAGUUCCUGUCUCAGCCAACGGUGGAUCAUUGGGAAGCAGUCAAGCAUAUUCUGAGAUAUGUCAAAGGUACGCUAGACAUGGGACUACGGAUUCGUAAGUCCAGAUUCACUGGAGUGAGUAUAUUCACCGAUGCAGACUGGGCAGGCUGUGUUGAUGAUAGGCGCUCCACUGGUGGUUUUGCUAUAUUUGUUGGACCUAACCUUGUAUCUUGGAGCUCGAAGAAGCAACCCACAGUCUCGAGAUCAAGCACCGAG
rnacentral:rRNA from 1 species